AACGAACGCUGGCGGCAUGCCUAACACAUGCAAGUCGAACGAGACCUUCGGGUCUAGUGGCGCACGGGUGCGUAACACGUGGGAAUCUGCCCUUUGCUUCGGAAUAACAGUUAGAAAUGACUGCUAAUACCGGAUGAUGUCGAAAGACCAAAGAUUUAUCGGCAAAGGAUGAGCCCGCGUAGGAUUAGGUAGUUGGUGGGGUAAAGGCCUACCAAGCCGACGAUCCUUAGCUGGUCUGAGAGGAUGAUCAGCCACACUGGGACUGAGACACGGCCCAGACUCCUACGGGAGGCAGCAGUGGGGAAUAUUGGACAAUGGGCGAAAGCCUGAUCCAGCAAUGCCGCGUGAGUGAUGAAGGCCUUAGGGUUGUAAAGCUCUUUUACCAGGGAUGAUAAUGACAGUACCUGUAGAAUAAGCUCCGGCUAACUCCGUGC
rnacentral:rRNA from 1 species